rnacentral:rRNA from 1 species
AAAUUGAAGAGUUUGAUCAUGGCUCAGAUUGAACGCUGGCGGCAGGCCUAACACAUGCAAGUCGAACGGUAGCACAGAGGAGCUUGCUCCUUGGGUGACGAGUGGCGGACGGGUGAGUAAUGUCUGGGAAACUGCCCGAUGGAGGGGGAUAACUACUGGAAACGGUAGCUAAUACCGCAUAACGUCGCAAGACCAAAGAGGGGGACCUUCGGGCCUCUUGCCAUCGGAUGUGCCCAGAUGGGAUUA